CCUAUUUUACACCCGGAAAUCACGCGCUCUGGCUCCUCAUUUGGAAACACGAACCGGCAUGAUAGCGUGAAUGGACACCCGGCAAGUAAGUGAAGAGAUGAAUAUCAAUGUGAAUAUAUGUUUAAGUUCAUUGAAAGAGCUCCAAGUGUGCACCCUUGGAGAAGUAGCGCUGUUUAGUGGGUAAUGAGCGACGCUGGCGGGGAGGGAAAUGUUUGGCGUGUAUGUCGGUACGUGUGGCGCCAUGUUCUGCCCGCAGUCAGUGAGGACGCCGCUCCGUCACACCCGCUAAACGUUAAAAUUGCGGUAAUAUAUCUAAUGUUAAAAUAGUAGUAAUUUUUACACAUUAACUGACAAAAUUGGCUGAAGAAAUGUAAAGUUGGGAUGACCGUUUUAGAGGGGGGAUGAUUUUGACUGGAUAUGUACUGGAUAUGACACAAUAUAAUGUGGUAUGAUGUGAUGCAAUGAGAUACAAUAUGUGAUGACAGAGUUCAAUACAGUGUGAUGUCCAAGUAAGUCAAUUAUAGUAGUUUAUGUGAUGAUGGAUCAAUUCAGAUGAGAAGAACUUUAUUUAUAACCAAAGGGAAAUUCAAUAUUGUAUUAUAUUACACUAUUAUUCGAAAUUAUGAAACAUUACAGCGUGUGUUUAGCCAACCAAUACAAAAUGACCUUGAAAGGUUAAGUGUAGAGUAAGUUAGAGAACAUGUGCAUCGGUAUUCAAUCCAAAGUAAUUUAGUGAAUUCAUUCACUAAAUUAACAAACUGUUUUUUUCCCACAGGGUCAAUGGAAAGAGGAGAAAUGUAAUGGACUCUUCUGUUAAUUAAUUUGAUAUAACAUGCAAAGUCAUGAGGUAGUGAGUCAUGCUGGAGGCAUAUAAUAUUAAAACAAGCUAUUCUGUGCCACAGAUAUUAAAUCUGUUUCCCAUCUACAAUAUUAUAUUGUUAUACUGAUAGUUUGUCUUAUCUGCGGUAGUGGUGUGUGUCAUCUUGAGGUCUGAAAUGUUCCUGUUUCAGUUCACCUUGUACGCAGGUAAAAAAGAGGCUGUGCAGAAGUAAAAAGAGGCAGUAAUGUAAUCCUGCAUCUCAACUGACAACACUUUAAAUCUCUUUAAACAAACAGUAUGUUUGUAAGAAAGUUCAUUCAUCAAUGUGUUUCAAUAUGCUCCUCCAACCUCUUAUUCUUUUCUCCCCAAAUUGCCAAUCCAGACUGUAAACAAUGACUGGAGCAGGGAAAUUAAAGUCUUGGCCUGAAUUAGCUGCUGUCUUCACCAAAGGCCCCAAAAGUUGGCUUUUACUUCCUGUCAGGUUCCAAUAUUGCCUCAUUACUUUCCCCAGGCCUGUACUGCAUUGCUUGCUGAACACCAGAUCCAGUGAAUUGAAAGAACCCAUAACCAACUUUUUUUAAGCCCCAAGCUUAAGUUUGUCUAUUGUGAGCUCCUCUCUCCUUGUGAUGCUGAGUCAAUUAACAUUUAAUGUCUUAAUUGAUCAUGAUAAAAAUCUAGUUUUUCAUGUUGAUAGGCUCACAUAGUGAACUGCAUAGCUUCUCUCAAAAACUCAAUGUUCUUAUAUUUGCAGCAUUAACUGGCUGAUUUUACUCUUGAUUGUCAACUAAUUGUAAUUUUUGUUGAACUAAAGGUGUUUUGUUGAAGCAAUAAAAUAGGCAUCUAACCUCAAAGCUUAUAAGCACACUGUUUUUAACCCUGUUGUUUAACCUAUUCUUUGCCAUAAAACAUAUCAUUGUCAUUUUUUCCAGAAUUAUUCAUUCAAAUAAUGAGUGCAGGAAGUAAAUGUGCCCUUAUACGUGUCUAUAUAUGCAAAACAAAGGGCUUCCACUGAUUUCAUGGAGAGGAAAAGGUCAUUUAUUGAUAUACUAAUACCGUAUUGAGGGUUUUCCAUUAAGAAUCUUACAGUAGUAGGUUUUAAAUAUUCAGUCCUAUAUCUCUGACCUUAUAUGUAAUCAGAGUUAACUGUUUAUCAACUCUAGAGCACUGAAUGCCAGCAUAUUAUCUGGUUUUCUGAAAGGUUAAUACUUAUUGAUGUUUUGAACUCGUAGACUGUUGAGUGGUGUCAUUAUCAGAAAUUCAAAACAUGAACUUUAUGUAACUGUAUUGAUCCUAAAGCUCUCAAUGAUGCAGAAAUACGACCAGAAAAGGAAAUAAAUGCAUGACACUUUUGACAGUAGAAAUUUUCCAUUUUCAGUUUUGGUCUCUUCAUUCCUGCAAAUAAGUUUGAACUUCAGAUUUCAGUCUUCACUCAGUAUAUAUAGUAGGUGGUAUGCAUACAUUCUGAUAUCAAAGCAAGGACAGCUGUUCCAACCAUGAGAGAGAGAAUACUGAGUAGGUGUGGGGCGUCACAGAGGUGGUAAUCUGUGUACCGCAGAUGAAUAUGUGAUGAUUGGAGGGAGCACAGGAACCUGUGAUUAUGAUUUACAUCGACCCAUCUGGAUCAGGUUCAGCCUCCUGUGCCCUGAUUUGAUUAAUGCUUCCAAAUUAGAUCAUUGCAUGUUUUUUUUUUUUUUAUGUCUACUAUAAUUUGGUCCUCCUGUGGUUUCAUGUGACCCCCAAGCCAAUACAGGCAUCAAAGGGCAAAAGGUCAAAUGAAUUCAUAAUUUCUGAAACCAGAGUCUGUCAAGAUCCUGAAAAACUCAGGGGACACACAUGCCAUUAGACCCCUACCAAGAAACCCAUGUGAACACGUAUAAGUGUGGCUCACCCUGUCAUUUACAUUUACACUUCAAAUCCUUUGCCAGUCAGAGAUAGUAAAAUAGCAUUGGAUUUUAGUAAUAUCAUUUACAAGUUAAAUGUAAUGUACCAGGUUUUCAGAUUGUUUAUUUAAUAGUUAAAGAGUUUCCUCUCGUUGAUGCUCAAGGAAGUGUCAGACUGUCACCAGAGUUGUUUUGAUUUGUUGUUAAACUCCUGCAAGGAAUUUUAAGCUGAUCAUGAAACAGACUGUAAUUAAUAUUAAUGCCUCUUUGUGACCUACAAAACCAUACAAGGCCAUCAGCAUCAGCAUUAUUGAAUAUUGAAUAUUUCUCUAGUUCAGUGACUAGAACCCCUGUCAGGGGGGUAAUUGUCGAUGACAGUGAUUAAGUGCAUGCUGCUAAAAGAGUUUUGUUGAGGUUUGAAGAGGGUUUUGCAUGUUAAUGGUAAGACUAUUAUCCCACAGGUAAUACCAGACAAGAAACUGGCCCCUAAACUGAAACGGAAACUAGGCUGUAAACCGCUGCAGAGCAAUGCUUUCACGUUAUUCGGCUACUUUAAAGAAACUUAAACCCAAAAAGCUAAUGUUGGUGCAAAUUUAUGCUCUAUUUAGAAAUCUUUUCAAAGCUUUUAAUUUGUUGUCGGAAAGGCCACUCAUUUUUGCCACAUCCAUGUGUGCUACACAUACACUGUUAAAAGUAAUAAGUCUCAACUUUUCUGAAACUGGUUGUGAAAUGAAAUUGUAGGACGUGACAUGGGGACAAAAAAACUGACUGUGAACACACAAUAAGGAAAAAAUCAGCAGUUAUCACCUGAUGACCACUUUGUCAUCAGGGGGCACUAAAAUCAAUAAAACACAAGAGUUCCUCUCUGUAGCUUUAAAGUAAAGUUUGUGGGUUUCUGUUGCCAUUCUUCCACUCUAUAAAUGAAAUAUUUCACCUCCUGCCCAGUGGGAUACAGACUUUUGUGAUCAUCAUUUCCUUUAGAAAAAUGUAGACGAUGAAAAUUGUCCUUUCAGAGGUGGCAGACCUGCAGGGAAUGGUUUUUAUUCUUUCUUUCACUCUUGAAGACUUUGGAUCUCACUUGAGACACAAAUAUUAAAAAACUCUGGGUCAUGGUUAUAUAAGUAAAAAUAUCUGUGUUGUUGAUGUCUUCUUGCAUUAUUCAGGUCUCAGUGCACCGCUGGGUCCAGAGCUGGCACUCUUUGCUGGAGUGGAAACAAACAGGGGCCCCAGGGGUCCUGGGAUCAGGAAUAAGAACUGCUGUUGGCAGAUAUACCAAGGUGAAAAAAACACGACAGAUUAUUGUUACAAGACGUACCCUAAACUUAAUCAUUAUUGUCCACAGCUGAUGAAAUCUAACAACACUGGUGACCUCCUAACCUUUCCCUGGCAGCCGGUCAAAUCCUUGAGCCAGGUGUCAUUAUUUAUGUCACUUUGACAGUAUGUGUUGUUGGGUAUUUAUUAAUACAUUGGUAAGGUUUUGAGUCUUUCUAAAUUGGUGUAUAAAGAAAAGUUUAGCUAGUUACCCUGAUAUUGGUGAUUAUGAUAAUUUUCAGGCUAAUGUUCAACUUGGCAAAUAGGUGGAACACAAUAAGUAAUCAAAAACAAUGAUAUAUAUAUAUACAUAUAAGCAAUCACUUCCUGUUUAUUUGUGUCGGCUAAGAAAUGAGGAAUUUUAGAGUCCGAAACAGUUUGAAGAAAGCCGUUGCCUGUAAAAGUGCAUUUUAAUGUGGGCUUUAAUGGUUUUUGUAGCUUUUAAAGCCCGCUACAAAUGGACACUUGAGGAACUGCAGUUUUUUGUAAUCCCACAGAUGAUGCUGGAAACAAUAAAACAGCCGUCCUAGUGGUGAGUAAAAUGUUAGAAAAAGCUUGCUCAUUAUAUUUAAUUAUUUUUUCUCCCCUUGCUUUACAUUACCUUGUAAUCGCACUGGUUUAUGAAGGGUCUCUCAGUUUAUUUUUGUCAUGAUAUGUUCUGUUUGAGUUAGUUUUUCCCUGGUUUUGUGUUUCCCUUAAAGUAUUUGUUUUGAGAUCUCCCCUGGUGUUUCUGUGUCCUAUUGUUCCUGUUCCCCUGUAGUCCUGUUUUGUGAGUUUUCAGUUUGUAUCUGACCCCAAUUCCCUCUUGUUCUCAGUGUUUUAUUUCUUAUAUCAGUUUUCAGAGCUUCCUGUUUUAUUUUGAAGUAGGUUAUUCCCUGUGUUUCUAGUCUUGUUUUACUUCCUCAGUUUUCCCUCUUUAUAGUAAUUGUCUUCCCCUGUUUCUGUGUUGGUUCAUUGUCUGUUGUUUGUCUGUGUGUCUGUAUGCCAGUGUCCCCAGUGUCUCCUCGUGAUUUUUUCCUCCAUGUGUUGUUUGGUGGAUUUGGGAUUUUUGGUUCUUUUGGAUUUUUCCUCUUGUGUUUUUUGUCUUCGGGUAUUUUUCUGUUGGAAAUUAAAGUAAGAUUUUGUUGCUUUUUAUUGAGUUAUUUUUUCAUUUAAUCACUUUUUGUUCUGCAAAUGGGUCCUUUUUCUGUUUUUCAACUUCACCUGUGACAAUUUUAUAAUACGAGUCUCAGUUUCUAAAUCUGGAUCAAUCAGGAUUAAAGUUGUGUUGCAAUAUCUUUAAUUUCAUCUCCCAUUUUUGUAUAUUUAUUUAGUUUUAUGUACUAAAAAUAGUCGUUUUAAAACACUGCUUUAUCGCUGCACCUAUUUCAUAUCCUACUUUUUGAAUCUUCUCAUAGAUACUGCCACAUUUCCAAGUCUGAGCGCAUGGUUCUUCAAUUUGACCAAAUAAUGUCAACAAUAUAAUCUUCUAAGCUUACAUAAAGAUGCGCUCUCAUGAACCAAGGUCAGUACUGUACACACACAGAUCCUCAAUCAUACAGGUCUGUCUAUGCAAACCUAUUUGCCUGUAUGUUCACAGGAAACAGGGCAGAAAACUGUAAGUAGGAAAACAGAAGUAAAUUGAAUUAUUCUCAAGAACAAAACAACCCUGUCUGACAAACAAUCCAACAUUAUUUGUCUAAUUAGGAUACCACAUCACACAAAAACCCACACCUGACUGCAUCUAAGCAUUGUAAAACCAUGUCUUUAUGGAUGAUAAUGAGUCAUCGUUUUAAUUUAUGGCAUUGUUAAAGCGGAUGUGAUCUAAUAUAGUGUAUUCUGUCCUCAUCCUUAACAGUUUCUGCUGGUGCAGCUCCCUGAAGUCAGUCGGAGGGCUUCAAAAGAGUUUUGGCCGUCA